UUAUUCAAAUUUUAAUUACCCACAUUUUCCUCAUCUCUCUCUCUCUCUCUCCCGUUCUCUUUCUUCCCUCUCUUUCCCCCUUCAAACCCUAACACUUCUUCACCCUCUUUCUCCCUCAUAUCUAUGGUCACCACCACCUCCAAUGAAAAAAUCAAUUCCAUAUUCGUAUUCCUCAUCUCACGGGCUUCAUAAUGAACGGGUUAGAUUUUUGUUUUGAUGAGUUUCAAAAAGUAACCAUGUUCUAUUUUGGUGUGUUUGCUUAACUAUUACUGUUGUUCUUAAUCUGGAACAUUGCUUAUGUUGUUUUAUUUUUGUUUAUGGUUUAUAGUAGCUAGCUAGGUGUAGUUUCAUUUAUAUAUAAUGAAACUCUUUAUUUGUUGGUUGUUGAAGGAAAAUAAAUAAAUCUAAGUGAAUACACUAGCAGAGUUGCUUCCGAAAGUGAACACAUCUUUGAAGGACUACGCAGAAAAAAUUUCAGCUUCUAUUUCAUGACGUUCGCAGUUUCGAUUGAAGAAAUGAGUGUUGAAGAGGAUAAAAUUGGAGGAGUUAUUCUAACAGUUCAGAACCCUAUGGAUUCUGAUUCAUUUCCUUCUAAAUUGGAAGAUUCAAUGUCUCAAUGGAGUCAACAGGGAAAAACGAUACGAGAAGUGCUUCAUUGUGGAUUGUCAUGGUGAUAGAGCUACAACAUCUGCUACAUCAUUGGACUAAAACUUAGAAAGGGAUCAAACGAGUGAUAGAAGGAAUUUGUUCCCAACUUUGAAGAAAAUGUGUUUAAAGUUGAAACAGUACUAUAAGCUACACUGGUGAGGCAAUGCUUAUGGCAAGGUGCAUAUUAUUGUGAUGAAGAUUGGUGAUGCACCAGUUCCUACAAACUGUUGAAAUACAGCUAUGAGUACGAUUCCUAAGUCCUGUCAACAUCAGCACAAUAGCUCAUGAAUACCUGCUACUCUAUUUCAACUUUUCAUCUGUGCAUGCUUGUCGAUAACAGUAAAUAGUACAAAGCUACAUUAUUAUAUGUUCAAUAUACAUUUAAUGUGCUAAACAUUUAGUUCUAUCUCAAUUUUGUUUCUUUUUCUUCAA